AUGAACGCUGGCGGCGUGGAUAAGGCAUGCAAGUCGGACGAUUUCCUUUUUUGAAGAAGAUGCGAUUACAUCAAGUCAACUGAUAUUUUGGAGAUAGUGGCGAACGAGCUAGUAACACCUUGGUACGUACCCAAAAGUUUGGUAUAGCUCGCCGAAAGGCGGGGUAAUCCCAAAUAAUCCCUCUAUCUAUCGGAUAGAAGGGUAAAGUCGCAAGACGCUUUUGGAGCGGCCUAGGACCGAUCAGUUAGUUGGUGAGGCAAUGGCUCACCAAGACGAUGACCGGUAGGGG
rnacentral:rRNA from 1 species